AUUUGAAAUCUCUGUAAAUAGUGGCUGCUCUUUCUCCCACUUCCUGCUACAGUUUUGGUGUUUUUUUCUUUCUCUUUCUUUUUCUUUCUUUCUUUCUUUCUUUCUUUCUUUCUUUCUUUCUUUCUUUCUUUCUUUCUUUCUUUCUUUCUUUUCUCUUUUUCUAAACCAGACAUUGCAUGAUUUUAACGAACACAGUCCAUACGCAACAAUAAUAAAGAUGAAAAGUCCCUGCUGACUACCAUUGGAGAAGCAUCCUCAGACAGUUCCUGCAUGCUCGUGCUCCCUCAUGCUGCCUUCUCCUGCAUCAAGCUCCUCUGCUCAGCAGGGCGGCGGGCAACCUUGACUGCUCCAGAGAGUCCCUGGGGGCCAAGCUCCCUUCCUGGUUGUGCCAAGUCUUUCUUUUUGAUGGUGCCAGCUUGUGGAGAAGAUGGAGCCAGGCCCUUCCUGAAUGCCCACAGAAGAGGAAAACAGACAAAAGAGUUACACCUCCUUCAGAGCCAGCGCUGGCGUGACUCACCCUGGCAGGCACUGCUGUGCAGUCAUCUGCCCGAGCUGUCACCCUGCUGCGAAAAAGCUGCAGAAAGAGGAGACUGGGAGCAAACUUAACCUUAUUUUGGAUUGCUCGCUGCCGUCUAGGAGCAGUGAGAAUUAGGAAUCAAUUUCCAUUUACCCACUUCAAAGCGAAUUGUACUGUCUGCCCAAGGAAGCGUGGGGCACAGCUGAGGAAGAUGCUGCUUUUGUGCUGGAAAUGUUGCAAGGUUCAAAGUGCAUUUAGGUGCAACGUGUGUGUGGAUGAGUCAGGAGAUCCUUGCUUCAAAUGUGAGCUCUUCAAAGCGGCGCCUUCCUUUUCUGGUGCGUCUCGCACAGACCUCUCCUUUAAAGACCACAAAGCUGUAACGAAAUGCUGAACGGCUCUAAUGUGUGAACUGAGGCUGCCAUCCACUGCAAAGCAGGACUCCCCCAGGGUUUCCUGCUGCCCCAGGCAGAUAAAAUGUGGCUGCCCAUCUUUAUUGUUCCCAUUGGAGGUGCUGCAUGUGGCCGUCCACCCUGGAGGUCUGUUGCUUCCACCAGCCCUGCCCCAGGGCUGCCUGCAGGGGCAGAAAUUUGGCGCUCAUUAAAAAGAGAUAAAAAACAAUUAGAUUGCAGAUAAAACAAGUUAUCUCUGCUUGGAAGGCUUGUCAGUCCAUUGCUUUCUCUGUGGUUAGAGAAGGUGUCGUGCCAAGCUCUCUGGUCCAUGCUAGUUGCUCCAUCACUGUUUGCACCAGGCGUGGUCAGUGCCUGAACGGGAAGAAGAUCUGCCCCCGCACCCGAGGUCUGCACCUGAGUCUGCUCCACAACACACAGGCUUGGAGCCUGGCCUGGAGCCCUCAGACAAGGCAUUUGUAAUUAGUUCUGGUAAUUAACCCAGCACCCCUACACCCCAUGCCACACCACCCUCCUCCCGGCUCAUCAGAAUGGCACUAUCUCUUGGAGCAUUACUUCACAAAACACAGCCCUGUCCGCGGCUUAAACCCUGGCCUCUUUAAUUAACUGACAACUUUAAUCCAUGUGUUACACUCUGCUUAUCUGGAAACUGACUUUUACUCCUGAUAAGCCGUCAUCUAAUUGCUCUCCAAUGUGGCCCAUGCCCUGCUCCACCCUGGCGGUUACCCGCUCGCCGCAUUGAUAAUCCCCGGCCUUGAAAUGCUGUGCUAGAUGCAGCAGGGACAGCGAGGGAGUCCUUGGUCCUGCUGGUAUCAAUAUGGAAGAAACCAAUGUGACUUUGGCUAGCAUAUUCUGGGUUUAUCUGCCUUCUGGUUUUCCACUUCUAAGGAGACAUUCAGAGUCCUCUACCACCGGGAGAGUGACUGGUUGAUCUUUAUUUUGUUAACAUGUUUCUCAGCCAUUUGUUCCUGUCCAGAAAUGAGGGAUUG